rnacentral:sRNA from 1 species
AGCGCGUGGUCGCAUUGCUGCGGGCAGAUGAAAUGGAUAUGGGCAUCGAAGCCGCCUGCGGUGACGAUGCGGCCCUCGGCGGCGAUGAUCUCGGUGCCCGGACCGAUGACGAUAUCCACGCCGGGCUGCGUGUCGGGGUUGCCGGCCUUGCCGAUGGCGGCGAUGUUCCCGUCCUUGAGCCCGAUAUCGGCCUUGUAGAUGCCCGUCCAGUCCAGGAUCAGCGCAUUGGUGACGACCGUGUCCACCGCCCCUUCGGCGCGGCUGCGCUGCGACUGGCCCAUGCCGUCACGGAU